AAAUCAAAAAGUACACAAAAUCCCUAGAGAGAGAGAAGGGAAUACUGCGAUGAACUUCCUCGCCGCCGCUGCCGGCUUCCGUUUGUCGGCGAAGGGCUUCGCGACCAAAGCUCUGCUGUUGAAUAACCAUCAAAAACCAGAUCUAGAAAUCAAGAUUCACUACUCUAUUUAGGAAAAAAAUCAGCAAAAAAAUCAAUAGCAAAAAGAAAAAGAAAAGGCAAGAAAUAAAAUCAAGAAACACAAACCAUGGUGGGUUUGAACUACUUCAUCUUUUGCAACAGGUAAUGACCGUUCAUUCCCUCGAUUGUCAGCUUCGCUCACUAAAUUCACAGUCUGGCCACAUGCUUCGAACAAUAGAGACUAAAACAAAGUUGUACACUAUUGAAGGCAUAAUCAUAAGAACCAAUAUUUUGGAGGAGUUGUUUUGGGACGCGAAUGAGAAAGAUGGAGUUCUUGAAUUCUAGAGAGAGAGAGACAUUGAGUGGGAGUGAGAUCAGGGUAGAGAAAGCGAAGAAGGGCUUAUGGGGAAUAGGGGCAACAGUGAAUAAGAGAGAGAGAGAGAGAGAGCGUGAGUGUGGCAUGUGAGGAGAGGUGGCGUG
rnacentral:lncRNA from 1 species